AUAAGGUUAAGUGAAUAAGGGCGCACGGUGGAUGCCUUGGCACUAGGAGCCGAUGAAGGACGGGACUAACACCGAUAUGCUUUGGGGAGCUGUACGUAAGCUAUGAUCCAGAGAUUUCCGAAUGGGGAAACCCAACAUCUUUUAUAGGAUGUUACGUUUGCGUGAAUACAUAGCGCAUUCGAGGUAGACGCAGAGAACUGAAACAUCUAAGUACCUGCAGGAAGAGAAAGAAAAUUCGAUUCCCUGAGUAGCGGCGAGCGAAACGGGAAAAGCCCAAACCAAUGAGCUUGCUCAUUGGGGUUGUAGGACUCCAAUAUGGUAGUUCUUUCAGAUAAUCGAAUGACUUGGAAAAGUCAGUCAAAGAGGGUAAAAACCCCGUAGAUGAAAUUUGGAAGGCACCUAGGAGGAUCCUGAGUACGGCGGAACACGAGGAAUUCCGUCGGAAUCCGGGAGGACCAUCUCCCAAGGCUAAAUACUCCCUAGUGACCGAUAGUGAACCAGUACCGUGAGGGAAAGGUGAAAAGCACCCCGGAAGGGGAGUGAAAUAGAACCUGAAACCGUGUGCCUACAACAAGUCAAAGCCCGUUAAUGGGUGAUGGCGUGCCUUUUGUAGAAUGAACCGGCGAGUUACGAUUGCAUGCGAGGUUAAGUCGAAGAGACGGAGCCGCAGCGAAAGCGAGUCUGAAUAGGGCGUUUGAGUAUGUAGUCGUAGACCCGAAACCAUGUGAUCUACCCAUGUCCAGGUUGAAGGUGCGGUAAAACGCACUGGAGGACCGAACCCACGUACGUUGAAAAGUGCGGGGAUGAGGUGUGGGUAGCGGAGAAAUUCCAAACGAACUUGGAGAUAGCUGGUUCUCUCCGAAAUAGCUUUAGGGCUAGCCUCGGAUUUGAGAAUGAUGGAGGUAGAGCACUGUUUGGACUAGGGGCCCAUCUCGGGUUACCGAAUUCAGAUAAACUCCGAAUGCCAUUCAUUCAUAUCCGGGAGUCAGACUGUGAGUGAUAAGAUCCAUAGUCGAAAGGGAAACAGCCCAGACCACCAGCUAAGGUCCCAAAAUAUAUGUUAAGUGGAAAAGGAUGUGGGGUUGCACAGACAACUAGGAUGUUGGCUCAGAAGCAGCCACCAUUUAAAGAGUGCGUAAUAGCUCACUAGUCGAGUGACCCUGCGCCGAAAAUGUACCGGGGCUAAACAUAUUACCGAAGCUGUGGAGUACACCAUUAGGUGUAUUGGUAGGAGAGCGUUCUAAGGGCGUUGAAGGCAGAUCGUGAGGACUGCUGGAGCGCUUAGAAGUGAGAAUGCCGGUAUGAGUAGCGAAAGACAGGUGAGAAUCCUGUCCACCGAAUGACUAAGGUUUCCUGGGGAAGGCUCGUCCGCCCAGGGUUAGUCGGGACCUAAGCCGAGGCCGACAGGCGUAGGCGAUGGACAACAGGUUGAUAUUCCUGUACUCGUUGUUUUUGUUUGAGCAAUGGAGGGACGCAGGAGGCUAAGGAAUGCAGACGAUUGGAAAUGUCUGUCCAAGCAGUAAGUCUUGAUAGGAGUCAAAUGCUUCUGUCUACACGGAUAAGCUGUGAUGGGGAGGGAAAUAAUAGUACCGAAGUUCCUGAUGUCACACUGCCAAGAAAAGCUUCUAGUGAGAAAACAAUGACCCGUACCGCAAACCGACACAGGUAGUCGAGGAGAGAAUCCUAAGGUGAGCGAGAGAACUCUCGUUAAGGAACUCGGCAAAAUGACCCCGUAACUUCGGGAGAAGGGGUGCUGAUUUUCGAUCAGCCGCAGUGAAUAGGCCCAAGCGACUGUUUAUCAAAAACACAGGUCUCUGCAAAAUCGUAAGAUGAAGUAUAGGGGCUGACGCCUGCCCGGUGCUGGAAGGUUAAGAGGAGUGCUUAGCGUAAGCGAAGGUACGAAUUGAAGCCCCAGUAAACGGCGGCCGUAACUAUAACGGUCCUAAGGUAGCGAAAUUCCUUGUCGGGUAAGUUCCGACCCGCACGAAAGGCGUAACGAUUUGGGCACUGUCUCAACGAGAGACUCGGUGAAAUUUUAGUACCUGUGAAGAUGCAGGUUACCCGCGACAGGACGGAAAGACCCCAUGGAGCUUUACUGUAGUUUGAUAUUGAGUGUCUGUACCGCAUGUACAGGAUAGGUAGGAGCCGUAGAAAUCGGAACGCUAGUUUCGAUGGAGGCGCUGGUGGGAUACUACCCCUGCGUUAUGGCCACUCUAACCCGCACCACUGAUCGUGGUGGGAGACAGUGUCAGAUGGGCAGUUUGACUGGGGCGGUCGCCUCCUAAAAGGUAACGGAGGCGCCCAAAGGUUCCCUCAGAAUGGUUGGAAAUCAUUCGAAGAGUGUAAAGGCAGAAGGGAGCUUGACUGCGAGACCAACAAGUCGAGCAGGGACGAAAGUCGGGCUUAGUGAUCCGGUGGUUCCGCAUGGAAGGGCCAUCGCUCAACGGAUAAAAGCUACCCUGGGGAUAACAGGCUUAUCUCCCCCAAGAGUCCACAUCGACGGGGAGGUUUGGCACCUCGAUGUCGGCUCGUCGCAUCCUGGGGCUGUAGUCGGUCCCAAGGGUUGGGCUGUUCGCCCAUUAAAGCGGCACGCGAGCUGGGUUCAGAACGUCGUGAGACAGUUCGGUCCCUAUCCGUCGCGGGCGUUGGAAAUUUGAGAGGAGCUGUCCUUAGUACGAGAGGACCGGGAUGGACUUACCGCUGGUGUACCAGUUGUUCUGCCAAGGGCAUUGCUGGGUAGCUAUGUAGGGAAGGGAUAAACGCUGAAAGCAUCUAAGUGUGAAGCCCACCUCAAGAUGAGAUUUCCCAUUUCUUUAAGAAAGUAAGAUCCCUGAGAGAUGAUCAGGUAGAUAGGUCAGGAGUGGAAGGCCAGUGAUGGUUGGAGCGGACUGAUACUAAUCGAUCGAGGACUUAACCAAA
rnacentral:rRNA from 1 species